UACGUAGGGUGCGAGCGUUGUCCGGAAUUAUUGGGCGUAAAGAGCUUGUAGGCGGUCUGUCGCGUCUGCUGUGAAAAUCCGGGGCUCAACCCCGGACUUGCAGUGGGUACGGGCAGACUAGAGUGUGGUAGGGGAGACUGGAAUUCCUGGUGUAGCGGUGAAAUGCGCAGAUAUCAGGAGGAACACCGGUGGCGAAGGCGGAUCUCUGGGCCUUACCUGACGCUGAGGCGCGAAAGCUAGGGGAGCGAACAGG
rnacentral:rRNA from 1 species